GCCGAGGUAGCUCAGUCGGUAGANNGGUAGAGCAGGGGACUGAAAAUCCCCGUGUCAGUGGUUCAAUUCCGCUCCUCGGCA
rnacentral:tRNA from 1 species